rnacentral:misc_RNA from 1 species
AAGUCGUAACAAGGUUUCCGUAGGUGAACCUGCGGAAGGAUCAUUAACACAAAACCAAGAAGAGACCAUAGAAAUAUGUGUCUCAUCAUCCCGGAGUAAAUAUCUAGGGGCAUUCGUGGCCUUUUCAUUCCAUUUUCUGAUCGAUUUAUACCUGCACUGAUACCCAUAUGCACACGAAAGUGUGUGUAUGUUUAUUGACCUCGUGUCAAUAAAACCAUAUACAACUCGUAACAACGGAUCUCUCGGCUAAU